rnacentral:misc_RNA from 1 species
CUCUCCCCAGCAACAUCAUCGUAAAAGUUGCUAUGCCGGUAGCCGUUGAAAAAUCACCCAUAAAAGAUGAGUACUCAUUGGGGCUAGGAAACUGUGCCUUGAGCUUUGAUUUCCAUGUAACUUCGACUAGAUUGAUACUAAUACCAUAUGCGACCACCAAGGUAGCUAGAUCUCUAACGUAUCUCGAGGAUACUAAAAUUUUCAUGCUCUCUUUCAACCCUAGUUUGGG